ACGGCAGCGCCCUUUCGGCGGGCGCGGGGCGGCGGGAGCGGAGCUCCGGGAGCGGACCCGCGACCGGGACCGGGACCGGGACCGGGACCGGCCUCGGCCUCUCCCGGCCGGGCCAGCGGGAAGCCCCGCGUCCCUCAUGCGCAGGACGCCGCACUGCGCCUUCCGCCGCCGUGUUGUGGCGAGGCUCCCCCAGGGCCGGAGCCGCGUCCCGCCGGCCCCGGGCGAGGUGAGCUGGGAGCGGCUCCGAGCCCCGCCGGGCUCCCGGGGCUGCCACGUGCGCUGCAAAUCCCGCAGCAUGCAGAAAAAAAUGAAGUGACCAGGAUGCUGCGAGUUCAGAAAUGAAGGGUGAUCCUUCAGAAAAAGGCUGCCUGAGCAAGCUUCAGCCACCUUCCUGACUCCCAGCCCAGGUGAGCCGCAGUGCCAGCCCCAGCUCAGGUGAGCUGCCAGCCCCAGCCCAGAUUAUGCCUUGAGCUGCAGAAUGUCUGACAAACAUGGCAACAGAACUGGCUGGCAGCAUCCACGUCUGAUGGUUUGGAGAUUCCCAAAACUGAUCAUCUGUGUUUUCUCUACAUGGUUAAGAAGGAUUUAAAUUUUAAAAAAAAAAAAAAAACUAAAUAAAGAUGCCACCUACAAGACUG